rnacentral:rRNA from 1 species
AGCAGUCGCCACGGGAAUACGUAGGGUGCAAGCGCUAAUCGGAAUUACUGGGCGUAAAGCGCACGUAGGCGGCUUUGUAAGUAAGAGGUGAAAGCCCGGAGCUCAACUCCGGAGCUGCCUUUUAGACUGCAUCGCUUGAAUCCAGGAGAGGUGAGUGGAAUUCCGAGUGUAGAGGUGAAAUUCGUAGAUAUUCGGAAGAACACCAGUGGCGAAGGCGGCUCACUGGACUGGUAUUGACGCUGAGGUGCGAAAGCGUGGGGAGCAAACAGGAUUAGAUACCCCGGUAGUCCCUGUCUCUUAUAC